rnacentral:misc_RNA from 1 species
UUAUUAUUAUUAUUUUAUUCAUCAAACAUUACAUUUGGCUGGCCUUUCCAAAUAAAAUACAAAACCAAAAUUAGAAAUCAAUUAAAAAAAUAAUAAUAAUAACUCUUAUUCACCUUCACGUUUUUGUUAUCCAUUUCAGGUUUUAUGGAUAAUCAACACCCGGUAAGUUUCCAAAGGAACAGGUCAAUCAGUGUGCUGCAGUUAGCUGCUCCUCGUUUCCCAGAGGAAUAGAGGUAGUUCUCUUGUUUGGUUGUGUUUGUGAUUGCCCCAAAACAAUGUUGUUACCCAUCCCGUUUCCUUGGUUUUCCAUCAGAUGUUGGGGAUAGCCUGGUUUUGGUUGAGCUUCUGAAUGCUUCUUGUCUGGAGGCAAAACUCGGUCUAGAAACCUAUGUAUCAUCUCGUAAGAGGUAAAUGUAAUGACAGCAGAUGGGGUUGUUCUCAUUAAAUUUGUUGCACAGCCCCGGUAAAAUCCAGGAAAACCUUCCUUUUGGAACACCUUCUUAACACAAUCAACAACCCCACGAUAUUGGACCUCAGAAUUUCUGACUUGCCCUUGCUCUUGAAGCCUUGAUCGCACAACCUCGUGAGGAUAAGUCAUUACAGAGGCAAUCACUUUGGAUGUUGAAGCAGCGAUUGCAACAUCCCCAGCACUUAGCUUAUCAACAGAAGUAUUAUCCUUUUUAGCCACAUAAUACUUAAUCUUUUCAUACGCCGGAAAUUGAAUUGCAACAUGACUUAUCCCAGCCAAAGAAGGCAGAAUGCCACUAUACAACCCUCGCAUGCCUUCCUCGUGUAUAAUCCUUCUAAAAGCAGAAAGUAUGCUUUUAUAGGGAACCACAUCUGGUCUCAUUCCUUGUGUUUGGAGUCUGGUUUUCACUACCCACAACGGAUUUGUAGCGAUGGCUGUGGCAGCCCCAGCACCUGCGGCAGCUGCCAUGUUUGCACCAAUACCAAUUGUGAGUUAGCUAUUUCCAUCCCCAUGUGAAAGAAGGAUGCCUUUGAGUUGCUCAUAAACUGUGAAAUACACAGUCCAGUUUGGAAGUAGAGCUAUUAUUGUUGGAGAGAGACCUCGAUACAAUCCCUUAAAACCUUCAUUCCUAAUUAUGUUCUUGAGACUUGUGACAAUGAUGCUACCUGUGCGACCUGAAUUGGAAGUUGAGGGCAAUCCAUGGACCUGCAACCUUGUCUUGAUCACAUCCAAUGGGCAAACGACAGUAGCCGCAAUAGCACCUGCAGCAGCACCAGCACCGGCGUGGCAUAUUAAUUCUCUGGGGGUUCGAUUAUGGGAU